rnacentral:rRNA from 1 species
GGUUAAGUGACUAAGCGUACACGGUGGAUGCCUGGGCAGUCAGAGGCGAUGAAGGACGUACUAACUUGCGAUAAGCGCAGAUAAGGCAGUAAGAGCCGUUUGAGUCUGCGAUUUCCGAAUGGGGAAACCCAACUGCAUAAGCAGUUACUGUUAACUGAAUACAUAGGUUAACAGAGCAAACCGGGGGAACUGAAACAUCUAAGUACCCCGAGGAGAAGAAAUCAACCGAGAUUCCGGUAGUAGCGGCGAGCGAACCUGGAUUAGCCCUUAAGCACUCGGUGAAGUAGGUGAACAAGCUGGAAAGCUUGGCGAUACAGGGUGAUAGCCCCGUAACCGACGCUUCAUCGAGCGUGAAAUCGAGUAGGGCGGGACACGUGAUAUCCUGUCUGAAUAUGGGGGGACCAUCCUCCAAGGCUAAAUACUCCUGACUGACCGAUAGUGAACCAGUACCGUGAGGGAAAGGCGAAAAGAACCCCUGUGAGGGGAGUGAAAUAGAACCUGAAACCGUGUACGUACAAGCAGUAGGAGCACCUUCGUGGUGUGACUGCGUACCUUUUGUAUAAUGGGUCAGCGACUUAUAUUCAGUGGCAAGGUUAACCGUAUAGGGGAGCCGUAGCGAAAGCGAGUCUUAACUGGGCGCUCAGUCUCUGGAUAUAGACCCGAAACCGGGUGAUCUAGCCAUGGGCAGGUUGAAGGUUGAGUAACAUCAACUGGAGGACCGAACCGACUAAUGUUGAAAAAUUAGCGGAUGACUUGUGGCUAGGGGUGAAAGGCCAAUCAAACUCGGAGAUAGCUGGUUCUCCCCGAAAGCUAUUUAGGUAGCGCCUCGGACGAAUACUACUGGGGGUAGAGCACUGUUAAGGCUAGGGGGUCAUCCCGACUUACCAACCCUUUGCAAACUCCGAAUACCAGUAAGUACUAUCCGGGAGACACACGGCGGGUGCUAACGUCCGUCGUGGAGAGGGAAACAACCCAGACCGCCAGCUAAGGUCCCAAAGUAUUGCUAAGUGGGAAACGAUGUGGGAAGGCUCAGACAGCUAGGAUGUUGGCUUAGAAGCAGCCAUCAUUUAAAGAAAGCGUAAUAGCUCACUAGUCGAGUCGGCCUGCGCGGAAGAUGUAACGGGGCUAAGCAAUACACCGAAGCUGCGGCAAUGUCUUUUAGACAUUGGGUAGGGGAGCG